rnacentral:rRNA from 1 species
GUUGAACGGCCACAUUGGGACUGAGACACGGCCCAGACUCCUACGGGAGGCAGCAGUGGGGAAUAUUGCACAAUGGGGGAAACCCUGAUGCAGCGACGCCGCGUGGAGGAAGAAGGUCUUCGGAUUGUAAACUCCUGUUGUUGAGGAGGAUAAUGACGGUACUCAACAAGGAAGUGACGGCUAACUACGUGCCAGCAGCCGCGGUAAAACGUAGGUCACAAGCGUUGUCCGGAAUUACUGGGUGUAAAGGGAGCGCAGGCGGGAAGACAAGUUGGAAGUGAAAUCCAUGGGCUCAACCCAUGAACUGCUUUCAAAACUGUUUUUCUUGAGUAGUGCAGAGGUAGGCGGAAUUCCCGGUGUAGCGGUGGAAUGCGUAGAUAUCGGGAGGAACACCAGUGGCGGAGGCGGCCUACUGGGCACCAACUGACGCUGAGGCUCGAAAGUGUGGGUAGCAAACAGGAUUAGAUACCCUGGUAGUCCACACCGUAAACGAUGAUACUAGGUGUUGGAGGAUUGACCCCUUCAGUGCCGCAGUUAACACAAUAAGUAAUCCACCUGGGGAGUACGACCGCAAGGUUGAAACUCAAAGGAAUUGACGGGGGCCCGCACAAGCAGUGGAGUAUGUGGUUUAAUUCGACGCAACGCGAAGAACCUUACCAAGUCUUGACAUCCUGCGACGGACAUAGAAAUAUGUCUUUCCUUCGGGACGCAGAGACAGGUGGUGCAUGGUUGUCGUCAGCUCGUGUCGUGAGAUGUUGGGUUAAGUCCCGCAACGAGCGCAACCCUUAUGGUCAGUUACUACGCAAGAGGACUCUGGCCAGACUGCCGUUGACAAAACGGAGGAAGGUGGGGAUGACGUCAAAUCAUCAUGCCCUUUAUGACUUGGGCUACACACGUACUACAAUGGCGUUAAACAAAGAGAAGCAAGACCGCGAGGUGGAGCAAAACUCAGAAACAACGUCCCAGUUCGGACUGCAGGCUGCAACUCGCCUGCACGAAGUCGGAAUUGCUAGUAAUCGUGGAUCAGCAUGCCACGGUGAAUACGUUCCCGGGCCUUGUACACACCGCCCGUCACACCAUGAGAGCCGGGGGGACCCGAAGUCGGUAGUCUAACCGUAAGGAGGACGCCGCCGAAGGUAAAACUGGUGAUUGGGGUGAAGUCGUAACAAGGUAGCCGUAGGAGAACCUGCGGCUG